AGGACGAACGCUGGCGGCGUGCUUAACACAUGCAAGUCGAACGGAAAGGCCCGCUUGCGGGUACUCGAGUGGCGAACGGGUGAGUAACACGUGGGCAACCUGCCCUCAGCUUCGGGAUAACUCUCGGAAACGGGUGCUAAUACCGAAUGUUGACAUUUCCUCGCAUGGGGUUGUGUUGAAAGUUUUUCGGCUGGGGAUGGGCCCGCGGCCUAUCAGCUUGUUGGUGGGGUGAUGGCCUACCAAGGCGACGACGGGUAGCCGGCCUGAGAGGGCGAUCGGCCACACUGGAACUGAGACACGGUCCAGACUCCUACGGGAGGCAGCAGUGGGGAAUAUUGCGCAAUGGGCGGAAGCCUGACGCAGCGACGCCGCGUGAGGGAUGAAGGUCUUCGGAUUGUAAACCUCUUUCAGUAGGACGAAUUUAGACGGUACCUGCAGAAGAAGCACCGGCCAACUACGCGCCAGCAGCCGC
rnacentral:rRNA from 1 species